ensembl:lncRNA
GAAACAUGGAAGCACCACCUCCAUUUGGAUGGAGAUUAGAAGUAUCUACAAUGUGCCAAACAUAGGGAGUUUAAUUUAAUUAUGAUAAAAAAAAAAUUGUGCACAAGGAUGUGGCCCAGACCGUUGACAUACAGGCGCCCGUUACGGCUGAUCAACGCGUCUCUGAAGGAACACAUCGGGCUCCUGCUUCCCCUUCCGGUCGUUGAGCUUGAGGGCCAGCGGACUCUCCUUCAAGGUGGGACCGGGCGCCUGUGGGCCGCACUGGGCGGCUGAGAGAUCUGCUGCUCAGCAGCCAGCCCGAUGACGGAGGUGCAGCCUUAUGAAGCUCUGGAGCGUGGCGGCGCCGACCUCCCAUAAUGCAACAGGUCCUGACAGCUGAUCAGUGCGUUAGGCUAGCAGGGAGCUAGCUGCUACGGGGCGGGGCAGUGGGCGGGGCCAACCCCUCACUGCUCAGCCACAUGCUCCUUUAUUGGAUAUAACAAUGACUCUAAAGUACAACAGUACCGAUUAAGAACUUGUGUGGGUCUCCCCAGGACCCGUGUGUUUGGGCCGGAGGGAUUCUGUCUCUCAGAACGAUGGCAGCUCUUAAUCCCGUUCUGUAUGGAGCUCUGACCAGGCUUCAUGGGAUGAGCGUGUGCGUGUUUGCAUACUGGAUACGUGCAUGUGUUAUGGGGUAUUCGUGUAUAUGUAUUUGUGUGUGUGUGUCGAGUCAAUCUGUGGUUUUAAUUUUACUUUGGGGUUUAAGAAAAUACACUGGAAAAAAGAAGAAAUUAACGGACAAAAAAUAGUGAUUUAAUUUUAAAUUGGGUGCGGAAGGACUCACCAGCUCAACUAAUGGUUGACGCAAAAAUAAGCUACGUAAUACACGCGACGCAGACACGAGCAGCAGGUGUUUUAAUUGAGCUUCAAGGAGGCACGAGAGAGAACAAGAGGACUGUUAGAAAACCACAGCAAACGCGUGUAAUAAAAACUCUUGUAUUGUACAUACUGAACAUCUUUGAAAUCUGGAGAGGCAGCCGGUUUUUUACCUAAAGGUUAAUGGCAAGAGAAAAUAGCGAGCUACUGUUUAACUGAAAAUAAAAAGGAAAGAAAAGUG